GCUGAUAUGGCUCAGUUGGUAGAGCGCACCCUUGGUAAGGGUGAGGUCCCCAGUUCGACUCUGGGUAUUAGCACCA
rnacentral:tRNA from 1 species